AUUGAACGCUGGCGGCAGGCUUAACACAUGCAAGUCGAGCGGAGAUGAGGUGCUUGCACCUUAUCUUAGCGGCGGACGGGUGAGUAAUGCUUAGGAAUCUGCCUAUUAGUGGGGGACAACAUUCCGAAAGGAAUGCUAAUACCGCAUACGUCCUACGGGAGAAAGCAGGGGACCUUCGGGCCUUGCGCUAAUAGAUGAGCCUAAGUCGGAUUAGCUAGUUGGUGGGGUAAAGGCCUACCAAGGCGACGAUCUGUAGCGGGUCUGAGAGGAUGAUCCGCCACACUGGGACUGAGACACGGCCCAGACUCCUACGGGAGGCAGCAGUGGGGAAUAUUGGACAAUGGGCGGAAGCCUGAUCUAGCCAUGCCGCGUGUGUGAAGAAGGCCUUUUGGUUGUAAAGCACUUUAAGCGAGGAGGAGGCUACUAGUAUUAAUACUACUGGAUAGUGGACGUUACUCGCAGAAUAAGCACCGGCUAACUCUGUGCCAGCAGCCGCGGUAACAC
rnacentral:rRNA from 1 species